rnacentral:tRNA from 1 species
GACUGCGUAGCUCAGUUGGAAGAGCAUUGGGCUAGUAUUCCAAAGGUCGUAGGUUCGAAUCCCACCGUGGCCG